CCUACGGGGAGCAGCAGUGGGGAAUAUUGGACAAUGGGCGAAAGCCUGAUCCAGCCAUGCCGCGUGUGUGAAGAAGGCCUUCGGGUUGUAAAGCACUUUCAGUGGGGAAGAAAGCCUUGGGGCUAAUACCCUCGAGGAAGGACAUCACCCACAGAAGAAGCACCGGCUAACUCCGUGCCAGCAGCCGCGGUAAUACGGAGGGUGCGAGCGUUAAUCGGAAUUACUGGGCGUAAAGCGCGCGUAGGCGGUCUGAUAAGCCGGUUGUGAAAGCCCCGGGCUCAACCUGGGAACGGCAUCCGGGAACGAUAAGACGAGAGGCUGACAGGGGAAGGUGGAGUGCGUGGGAUGGGGGGGAAAUGCGUAGGGGUCGGGAGGUAAGGCAGUGGGGAAGGAGCGCGUCGGGACUAACGAUGACGCUGAGGUGCGAAUGAGGUGGUAGAAAAGAGGCUUAGAUACCCGGGUAGUG
rnacentral:rRNA from 1 species